rnacentral:rRNA from 1 species
UGAGGAAUAUUGGACAAUGGGCGAAAGCCUGAUCCAGCCAUGCCGCGUGCAGGAAGACGGCCCUAUGGGUUGUAAACUGCUUUUAUACGGGAAGAAACACUCUCUCGAGUAGGGGGCUUGACGGUACCGUAUGAAUAAGGAUCGGCUAACUCCGUG